UACGUAGGGUGCGAGCGUUAAUCGGAAUGACUGGGCGUAAAGGGUGCGUAGGCGGUUUGCUAAGACGGAUGUGAAAUCCCUGGGCUCAACCUAGGAACAGCAUACGUGACUGGCAGGCUGGAGUAUCGAAGAGGGGGGUAGAAUUCCACGUGUAGCAGUGAAAUGCGUAGAGAUGUGGAGGAAUACCGAUGGCGAAGGCAGCCCCCUGGUCAGAUACUGACGCUGAGGCACGAAAGCGUGGGGAGCAAACAGG
rnacentral:rRNA from 1 species